rnacentral:sRNA from 1 species
UAAAGACUUGUACUGCCUGUGUUGCGGA